UGUAGUCUAAUAGUACUGAGAGUUAGAAGUAGGUAGCAAUUAUCUCACUUUUUCUGACAGUAGCAUUUGUAAUCUAGUGUAGUUGUUUGACCAGUAGGCAUACGAUAGGACACUGGACUGUAAAGUUCUGACUCAUGUUAGUGAGAUGAAAAACAGAUUGGAGUGGUAAAAAUUUCAAGGCAACCAUUUAAAUAAAUCUGUGUUUUGUUUUGUUCUGCUCACAUGUAUGUUAUAUUAUACAUCGGUUGUUUUUAUUUACCACAUUUAAUAUGACAUUUUAUUUGAUCAGUUUUCAGCUGUUUUUCGAACUCCCAGAUCUCCUUUGCUAAACUUGCUUCUUGUGCUUCUCAUGGGGUAACGUGAAAUUCCCAUUUCAUUAAUGUAGAAUGAUGUGAUUUCUUUCUUGCAUGAGUACAUUUUAAUUAGAUCGACCUUCAGUCUCAUGUUGUCCAUUUAGAAUACCUCUCAAGGCGAGCGCAGCUCUGAAAUAAUGUUUCACUUAUUUUUCCUUUUUAACCUUUUGGUUUACCUUCUGGAAGGUUGUGAUUGAUUAUAUGUAUGGAGGUGCUAGGGUGCAUGGUGUUCUAACAGGGUUCGAGAGGCAUAUGGAAUGGGGUUAGGGGAAAAUAUCCGGAGAGGUUGCGAGACUAUUUCUAGGCAUACAAAAUUGGUGGUGGAAGAUGGCUCCAAGGAUUAAUUUCUGGUAUGAUAUAUGGUGUGGGGUUAGAACAUUGAAGGAUGUUUCUCCCUCAAUUUUCAGCUUCUGGCUUGGGUGACUGAAGUAAAGGUGCAUCUGCCUACAUAGUUUUGGUUGUACUCUUACCAUAUCGGCCGAAUAUGUUUCUUUGGAGUUUGGAGCUAUUCAACCAUGCACUCAUAAAUGCUAUUUGAAUCUCUAAUAUAUGUAGACAUUGGUACUUUCUAGUGAGGAAAAAAAUGGAGUUUGUAUUGCUAG